CACUUUGUCCCGUGGGAGGGUAGGCUGAAGUAUGUGAAAUGCAAAGAACAAGUUUCUAGGAGUGUUUAUUUUGAAUAUCGUAUAUUGGAUUAAUCAAAAUGUAUGAUUUACUUUAGUUGUUUAGAUUUUUGUACUGUAAAAUGUGUAACCGGAAUAUAGUAUUACUUUUAAAGCUUUAGACCAAGAGCGAUAGCCGGAUAAAAACAAUCCGCUUUAAUGACUGAUUCGGUUUUAAAACAAAUUCUAAAUUUACUGCUUUUAGUUUUAUCUGUUAUCGAAC